rnacentral:lncRNA from 1 species
UUCGUCCGUGCCGUACCGUCCGUGCCGUCCGUGCCGUUCUUCUCCGUUUUAUGCUACAGCGUGUUCGGUCGACUUUGCUUGAAACAAAGUGACGAAUGACCGCCGCGUGCUCUCAUGCUCGGCGUGAGUUUGUAGAGCUGAGCGGCUUGAUAUGGCUUGAGCUUCUCGUGUUUCCGUCGGGCUGCCUGGACCUAGAUUUUUAAACAAAAGAUUAUGUCCUACGGAAGUUACUGCUGCGUGGUCUGGUGUGCCAACAAUGGGAAAACAAAGAAGAAGCCACAUGUCAAGUUUUUUCGAAUUCCACGUGACCCAAGGUCAAAAGCAUGGCUACAGUACGCCAGACGUCCUGAGCUCCUAGGAAAGACAGCCAAGGAGCUCUAUGAGGGGUAUCGCCUGU